rnacentral:rRNA from 1 species
UACAGAGGUCUCAAGCGUUGUUCGGAUUCAUUGGGCGUAAAGGGCGCGUAGGCGGCGCGGUAAGUCGGGUGUGAAAUCUUGGAGCUUAACUCCGAAACUGCAUUCGAUACUGCCGUGCUUGAGGACUGGAGAGGAGACUGGAAUUUACGGUGUAGCGGUGAAAUGCGUAGAUAUCGUAAGGAAGACCAGUGGCGAAGGCGGGUCUCUGGACAGUUCCUGACGCUGAGGCACGAAGGCCAGGGGAGCAAACGGGG